GAAUGGGUUACUGUUUAUGGGUUCUCUCCUGGUGAUACCAAUCUAGUUUUACGGGAGUUUGAGAAAUGUGGUGUGAUCUUGAAACAUGUUCCUGGUCCAAGGGACGCUAACUGGAUGCACAUUCUUUAUCAGAGUCAAUCUGAUGCUCAGAAGGCUCUCAGCAAGAACGGGAUGCAAAUAAAUGGGGUAAAUGGGGUAAUAAUAGUUGGCGUGAAGCCCGUAGAUCCAAUGCAACGCCAAGCUUUGAAUGAAAGACAUAACAAUCAGGGAUUCAUGACUUUACCCCCACCACCAUCUUCUAGAAGUUCAGAUUUGAGGACAAUAAGAACUUCUUCUCGCCCCUACUAUCUUCAAAAUGGCAGUGGCAGCGCCCAGUGGUCAGGAGGUGCCAUUGCUUCCCCAACCAAGUCUAUGGUAUCCAAAAUCUUUGAUGUGAUGUUUGGCAUUUAGGUUAAUUUUCUGUUCAUGGGUAUGGCUUUUAUUAUCUUCUACGGUGAGAUGCAUGACGGCUUUUGGCAAUUCAGGUAUAAGGUUGAGAGUCUUGGAUAUCUUUUCCAUGUGAGAGUUGUAUACCUUGUUAUUGACUUGAAAUUGUAAAAGAUUGUUGGAAACUCUUUGAAAAAAAAAUUACUAGAUUGAAUUCAAACAUCAC
rnacentral:misc_RNA from 1 species